CCAAGCUACUAAGGGCGCGUGGUGGAUGCCUUGGCACCGAGAGGCGAUGAAGGACGUAGCUACCUGCGAUAAGCCACGGUUUGUUGGACGCAAACUACCCGUGGAUCUCCGAAUGGGGCAACCCGGCCGGGCAAACCCCGGUCAUCGCGCGCUGAAUGCAUAGGCGCGCGAAGCCAACCCAGGGAAGUGAAACAUCUCAGUACCUGGAGGAAAGGAAAGCAAACAGCGACUCCGCUAGUAGUGGCGAGCGAACGCGGACCAGCCCAAACCGCAGGCAUGUCAUAGGCCAUGCCCGUUGUGUCUGCGGGGUUGCGGGGCGCGUCGCGGGGGGUGGUAUGGAACCCCCAGAAGGUUACAAAACCGGUCUCUAGCCGAACAUGACUGGAUAAGUCGGACCGUAGAAGGUGAUAGUCCUGUAGGCGAAAGGGAUCCGGUCCUUCAGACGCGUACCCAAGUAGCGCGGGUCACGGGAAACCCCGCGUGAAUCCGGGAGGCCCAUCUCCCAAGGCUAAGUACUACUCGGUGACCGAUAGCGAACCAGUACCGUGAGGGAAAGGUGAAAAGCACCCCGAGAGGGGAGUGAAACAGAACCUGAAACCACGUGCCUACAACCAGUAGGAGGGCUAUGGCCGCAAGGCAAAGCCUGACUGCGUGCCUUUUGCAUAAUGAGCCGGCGAGUUACUCUGCGUGGCAAGGUUAAGGGCUUCAGGUCCGUAGCCGAAGCGAAAGCGAGUCUGAACAGGGCGCAUAGUUACGUAGAGUAGACCCGAAACCGGGUGAUCUAUCCAUGGCCAGGGUGAAAUCUCUGUAAAAGGAGAUGGAGGCCCGAACCAGUGUCCGUCGAAAAGGGCUUGGAUGAGCUGUGGAUAGGGGUGAAAGGCCAAUCAAACUCGGUAAUAGCUGGUUCUCCCCGAAAUGUCUUUAGGGACAGCGUCAUGUGUAGCGUCCGGGGGUAGAGCACUGGAUGGGCUAGGGGCCUCACCAGGUUACUGAACCCAACCAAACUCCGAAUACCGGACGUGGAAUCAUGGCAGUGAGUCUAUGGGGGAUAAGCUCCAUAGUCGAGAGGGAAACAACCCAGACCGCCAGUUAAGGUCCCUAAAUUACGCUCAGUGUGAAACGAGGUGCAAUCGCAUAAACAACCAGGAUGUUGGCUUAGAAGCAGCCAUUCAUUUAAAGAGUGCGUAAUAGCUCACUGGUCGAGUGGUUGUGCGCGGAAAAUGUAACGGGGCUAAGCGUAAUACCGAAACUGCGGGUUCCGCCUUCGGGCGGAGCGGUAGGGGAGCAUUCUGUUCCGGGUAGAAGCGUGACCGAAAGGACACGUGGACUGAACAGAAGCGAUCAUGCCGGCAUUAGUAACGACAAGGAGGGCGAGAAUCCCUCCCGCCGAAAGUCCAAGGGUUCCCGGGCAAGGUGAAUCCUCCCGGGGUUAGUCGGGUCCUAAGCCGAGGCCGAAAGGCGUAGGCGAUGGGAAACAGGCACAAAGAUUCCUGUACCGCCUGGCGUCCGCUACCAGCAAUGGGGUGACGCAGGAGGAUAUGCCAGCUGCCUGUCGGAUGGCAGUCUAAGCGUGUAGGCCGUGGUCCAGGCAAAUCCGGGCCACAUUAAGGCUGAGACGUUAAGGGACGUGGAUCCCUUAGGGUGAAGCGGAUUGGCAAAUUCCACACUGCCAAGAAAAACCUCUAGCGAGGACGUCGGCGCCCGUACCGCAAACCGACACAGGUGGACGAGAAGAAUAUUCUAAGGCGCUCGGGUGAUCCGCUCUUAAGGAACUCGACCAAUUGGCCCCGUAACUUCGGAAGAAGGGGUGCUCUGGGCGGUGACGGUCCUCGCGACCGGAGCUUCCCGGAGUCGCAGUAAAGUGGCUCAGGCGACUGUUUACUAAAAACACAGGUCUCUGCAAAGUCGUAAGACGACGUAUAGGGACUGACGCCUGCCCAAUGCCGGAAGGUUAACGGGAGAGGUCAGCGCAAGCGAAGCCUUGAACCGAAGCCCCGGUUAAUGGCGGCCGUAACUAUAACGGUCCUAAGGUAGCGAAAUUCCUUGUCGGGUAAGUUCCGACCUGCACGAAUGGCGUAAC
rnacentral:rRNA from 1 species